CACAGACCAGAGAGGUGGGAUGGAAGAGAGGUGGUUCGUUAGAGAGGUGGUUGGGUAGAGUGGUGGGUCGGUCACAGACCAGAGGGGUGGGUCGGUCACAGACCAGAGAGGUGGGUCAGUCACAGACCAGAGAGGUGGGUCAGUCACAGACCAGAGAGGUUGGUUGGAAGAGAGGUGGUUCGUUAGAGAGGUGGUUGGGUAGAGUGGUGGGUCGGUCACAGACCAGAGAGGUGGGUCAGUCACAGACCAGAGGGGUGGGUCAGUCACAGACCAGAGAGGUGGGUCAGUCACAGACCAGAGAGGUGGGUCGGAAGAGAGGUGGUUGGGUAGAGAGGUGGUUUGGUAGAGAGGUGGUUUGGUAGAGAGGUGGUUUGGUAGAGAGGUGGGUCAGUCACAGACCAGAGGGGUGGGUCGGAAGAGAGGUGGUUCGGUAGAGAGGUGGUUUGGUAGAGAGGUGGUUUGGUAGAGAGGUGGGUCAGUCACAGACCAGAGAGGUUGGUCGGAAGAGAGGUGGUUCGGUAGAGAGGUGGUUUGGUAGAGAGGUG